GAUGAACGCUGGCGGCGUGCCUAAUACAUGCAAGUCGAGCGAACGGACGAGAAGCUUGCUUCUCUGAUGUUAGCGGCGGACGGGUGAGUAACACGUGGAUAACCUACCUAUAAGACUGGGAUAACUUCGGGAAACCGGAGCUAAUACCGGAUAAUAUUUUGAACCGCAUGGCUCAAAAGUGAAAGACGGUCUUGCUGUCACUUAUAGAUGGAUCCGCGCUGCAUUAGCUAGUUGGUAAGGUAACGGCUUACCAAGGCAACGAUGCAUAGCCGACCUGAGAGGGUGAUCGGCCACACUGGAACUGAGACACGGUCCAGACUCCUACGGGAGGCAGCAGUAGGGAAUCUUCCGCAAUGGGCGAAAGCCUGACGGAGCAACGCCGCGUGAGUGAUGAAGGUCUUCGGAUCGUAAAACUCUGUUAUUAGGGAAGAACAUAUGUGUAAGUAACUGUGCACAUCUUGACGGUACCUAAUCAGAAAGCCACGGCUAACUACGUG
rnacentral:rRNA from 1 species